ACACUUUUGACAAUGGAUAUCUUGGCUCCUACAACGAUGAAGAACACAGCGAAAUGUGAUACGUAGUGUGAAUUGCAGAACUCAGUGAACCAUCAAGUUUUUGAACGCAUAUUGCGCCCCCAGGCUCUCCUGGGAGCAUGCCUGUUCGAGUAUCAUUCU
rnacentral:rRNA from 1 species